CCAAUAGCGUAUAUUAAAGUUGUUGCAGUUAAAAAGCUCGUAGUUGAAUUUCGAGAUCGGCUUACUGGUCGUGCUUUUGUACGUACUGGUAUAAUCGGUUUCUCCUUUCUGACGAACUUUAAUGCCAUUAAGUUGGUGUUUUAGGGAAUCAGGACUGUUACUUUGAAAAAAUUAGAGUGUUUAAAGCAGGCUCACGCUUGAAUACAUUAGCAUGGAAUAACGGAAUAGGACGUUUGAUUCUAUUUUGUUGGUUUCUAGGAUCGACGUAAUGAUUAAUAGGGUUAGUUGGGGGCAUUAGUGUUCAAUUGUCAGAGAGGAAAUUCUUGGAUUUAUUGAAGACUAACUACUGCGAAAGCAUUUGCCAAGGAUGUUUUCAUUAAGCAAGAACGAAAGUUAGGGGAUCGAAGACGAUCAGAUACCGUCGUAGUCUUAACCAUAAACUAUGCCGACUAGGGAUCGGAUGAUGUUAAUUUUUUAAUGACUCAUUCGGCGCCUUACG
rnacentral:rRNA from 1 species